rnacentral:tRNA from 1 species
GGGUUUAUAGCUCAGUUGGUUAGAGCACUACCUUGACAUGGUAGGGGUCGUUGGGAUUAGAAAAGCCCG